GCGCCGCGAAGUAGAUUUUAAAUAAGGUCAAACAUUAUAAAUAAUAAAUAUUGGUUUAUUAUUUGUAUAUCUUUUUCUCCGUAGGAGUAGGAUUUAUUUAAAUUAAUAAAUUAAACGAUUCUUACUCCCCUCUCCGAAGGAGUAACUCCGUAGGAGUUACUCCUUCGGAGAGGACUCCUUCCUUUUGCUCUCCGUAGGAAAAGCAAGAGGGAUCCUUACAGGGAGAAAGAGUCGGAGAAAAUUGAUUUGAUUAUUCAUUUAUUUGAGUAAUUAGUGUAGUUAUUCUUUAAUAUAUAAUUUUAUUAUAUUUUUUACUAGGUAUUUAACUGCUUUUUUUAGGUCUAAUUAGUUUCGACUAACCCAUCUGAGUAACAUCUCAAAAGUCAUAGCARGGUAGC
rnacentral:rRNA from 1 species